rnacentral:misc_RNA from 1 species
GAAAAUCUCAAAGUAACUAGGACCAUCCGCCGGCUUCAAAACCUCUGCUCUCUCCUUAUCUUCUUUUCUUCCUUCACUCUCUCUACCCUAGAGAUAUGUCUUCUCUUACCAAACCCUUAAUCAAGAAUUUAUCAAUGGCGACCAAUUCUUGCCUUAUCUCUCUUCCACCCUUCUUCACUACAACCAAAUCCAUGUCUUUUAUUUCAACCCCAUUAAAACCCAUCUCCCUUUCUUCCUCUUUAUCUCUUAAAAAGACCACUACCCAAUUCCCAUCUAUUGUUUCUGUAGUGGCUGCUCUGCAAGAUGAUGACAGCAGUGUUGGCCU